GGGGUUUCUUGUUUUCAGCAUUGAUACUUAACUUUAUAUUCGCUUGCCAACUCUUUUUCCUUCAACCCCUUGUAUCUGCUUUAGACGCCAAACCUGGUGAUGCUGCUGCAUUGUUUGAGAGAGUUGCACAAAAUGUAAAAGUUAAGAAAUACAGUGAGGCACUUAAUGAUCUAAAUUCAGCCAUAGAGGCAGACCCAACACUUUCAGAGGCGUAUUGGCACCGUGCAUCUCUCCUUCGUCAGUUGUGCAGAUAUGAGGAAUCGGAAAAAAGCUACAAAAAGUUUCUGGAGAUGAAACCAAGAGACUCAGCUGCAGAGAAGGAGCUUUCUCAGAUGCACCAAGCUAAGAGUGCUCUUGAUUCAGCUACCAACCUGUUGGACACGGAUGACAUUAAAAAAGCGUUGGAGUAUAUUGAUAAAGUCGUACUAGUUUUCUCUCCAGCAUGCUCCAAGGCCAAACUCCUUAAGGUGAAGCUAUUGCUAGCAGAUAAAGAUUAUUCAGGUGUCAUAUCCGAGGCAGGAUUUAUACUUAAAGAGGAUGAGGAUAAUCUGGAGGCUUUACUUCUACGAGGCCGUGCCUACUACUAUCUGGCUGAUCAUGAUGUAUCCUUACGGCACUACCAAAAAGGUCUUCGUUCAGACCCAGAGCACGGGGAAUUGAAGAAAGCCUAUUUUGGCUUGAAAAACUUACUUAAAAAAACUAAAAGCGCAGACGAUAACGUAAGUAAGGGUAAAUUUCGUCUUGCUGUGGAGGAGUACAAAGCAGCCCUGGCGUUGGACCCCAACCAUUCUGCACAUAAUGUAAAUCUUCAUCUUGGUUUGUGCAAAGUCUUGGUAAAGCUUGGAAGGGGGAAGGAUGCUAUAUCAAGCUGUUCAGAAGCCCUUGAACUUGAUGGAGAGCUUAUCGAUGCUCUAGUGCAGAGGGGUGAAGCCAAGCUUCUAACAGAAGAUUGGGAGGGAGCUGUUGCAGAUUUGAAAGAAGCAGCUGAAAAAUCUCCUCAGGAUAGGAAUAUUCGUGAAGUGCUGAUGAGGGCUGAGAGAUCAUUAAAAUUAAGUAAACGGAAGGAUUGGUAUAAGAUAUUGGGAGUGUCAAAGACAUCAUCUGUAUCAGAGAUAAAAAAGGCAUACAAAAAGCUUGCGCUGCAAUGGCACCCUGACAAGAACGUUGACAACAGAGAAGAAGCUGAAGAAAAGUUUCGUGAAAUAGCAGCUGCAUAUGAGGUUCUCGGGGAUGAGGAAAAACGUACACGAUAUGACCAAGGGGAAGACAU
rnacentral:misc_RNA from 1 species